GUGAGUGCUGCAGUGACAAUUUAGGCUUAGUUGUUGUUACAUAAUUUUUUUUAUUGAGUUAUGAUUAUUUUUGGAACAAAAUUCGAAAUUAUUAAGCUGAAAUGAUUUUUUGUUUUGCUCUUUCCGUCCUGUGGGCUUCUUUUAUAGUAAGCCCAUUACGGGUUGGACCAAAGCCUCAAUAAAACGGGGCUUGACAUAUUUGAACAGAUCACUCUGGAAAAAUUCCCGGGGUUUUCGAUUUGUUCGGAUUCGGUUCCGGUCCCCCCACCAGAGCGGCAGGCUGCCGUCUUAAGUAUUUAUGGUACAAUGUUUAUGAAUUCUAACAUUAAUAUUGUAUUUGUUUUUAUAUUGAUGGAUUUUUAAUUUAUUCGGGUUUUCUGAAAUAUAUUCACGAUUGUUUAUUUCAUAAAGCUGAACGAUACUGAAUAAUAAACACCUCUAAGUAUCUAUUCGAGUAAAUUAUGUGUGAAGACGAAGUUGUAGCUGUUGUCGUAGACAAUGGUUCUGGAAUAUGUAAAGCUGGAUUCGCGGGUGAUGAUGCUCCCCGAGCUGUUUUUCCUUCAAUAGUUGGACGACCACGUCAUCAGGUAGUAAUGGUUGGUAUGGA